rnacentral:rRNA from 1 species
GGGGUUUAAAGGGAGCGUAGGCGGAUUGUUAAGUCAGUUGUGAAAGUUUGCGGCUCAACCGUAAAAUUGCAGUUGAUACUGGCAGUCUUGAGUGCAGUAGAGGUGGGCGGAAUUCGUGGUGUAGCGGUGAAAUGCUUAGAUAUCACGAAGAACUCCGAUUGCGAAGGCAGCUCACUGGAGUGUAACUGACGCUGAUGCUCGAAAGUGUGGGUAUCAAACAGGAUUAGAUACCCUGGUAGUCCACACAGUAAACGAUGAAUACUCGCUGUUUGCGAUAUACAGUAAGCGGCCAAGCGAAAGCAUUAAGUAUUCCACCUGGGGAGUACGCCGGCAACGGUGAAACUCAAAGGAAUUGACGGGGGCCCGCACAAGCGGAGGAACAUGUGGUUUAAUUCGAUGAUACGCGAGGAACCUUACCCGGGCUUAAAUUGCAAAUGAAUUAUGGGGAAACCCAUACGCCGCAAGGCAUUUGUGAAGGUGCUGCAUGGUUGUCGUCAGCUCGUGCCGUGAGGUGUCGGCUUAAGUGCCAUAACGAGCGCAACCCUUAUCUUCAGUUACUAACAGGUCAUGCUGAGGACUCUGGAGAGACUGCCGUCGUAAGAUGUGAGGAAGGUGGGGAUGACGUCAAAUCAGCACGGCCCUUACGUCCGGGGCUACACACGUGUUACAAUGGGGGGUACAGAAGGCCGCUACCUGGUGACAGGAUGCCAAUCCCAAAAACCUCUCUCAGUUCGGAUCGAAGUCUGCAACCCGACUUCGUGAAGCUGGAUUCGCUAGUAAUCGCGCAUCAGCCAUGGCGCGGUGAAUACGUUCCCGGGCCUUGUACACACCGCCCGUCAAGCCAUGAAAGCCGGGGGUACCUGAAGUACGUAACCGCAAGGAGCGUCCUAGGGUAAAACUGGUAA